AGAAAGAUAUUCUGUUCAGAAUUUUAAAAAAAAUAUUUUUUUCUCAGUCUUGUAAACUGUAAUUUGUGCUCCAGUAGAGGAAAAAAAACCUGGCAGAGGAGUUAGGAUGUCCAUUACCAUUUGAAAAGAAGCAAUCAUGAGGCCACUGCUGAGUCUAUUGUCCACCGAAAAUGCUGAUUUGCAGCCAGUGAGUAAAAGAGAGGAACCAUCUUAAAUUGAACCUUGUGCAAAGGGAGAAGGUUACAUCCAGAGUGAAGCAUUUGAAGAAAACAGAGGUGGGAGAAAAGAAACAGAUUUCUUCUGUAUAAAAAUAAAGUAUCUGAGGGAAACAGGCUAUAGUAAAUCUACAGCAAAAAAAAUCAGGCACAGCAGGAGGUAUCCGUCUCCCAGGUUUGUGUUUAAAAUCCACUCACAGAAGCUCAUUCUAUCUGUGUAAGUCUGGCAAACAUGCAUGCUUCAGUAGAGUCAAAAGACUUGCAAGAAUAACAGAAGCAUUUCUUCCUUGUUCGUGGAUCUGAGACAACCAUUUGAAAGGCCAGCAAAUUGUGCAGCGGUAGUCAGUCAGUCGUUGCAGACAGUAAUUGGUUCCCUGACUUUUUAAACCGUUAUUCU